rnacentral:rRNA from 1 species
GUAGGGAAUAUUGGACAAUGGGGGGAACCCUGAUCCAGCCAUGCCGCGUGGAGGAAGACUGCCCUCUGGGUUGUAAACUCCUUUUAUAUGGGAAGAACCGUCCUCAUUAAUGAGUGACCUGACGGUACCAUAGGAAUAAGCACCGGCUAACUCCGUGCCAGCAGCCGCGGUAAUACGGAGGGUGCAAGCGUUAUCCGGAUUCACUGGGUUUAAAGGGUGCGUAGGCGGAUAAAUAAGUCAGUGGUGAAAUCAACGGGCUCAACCUGUUAACUGCCAUUGAUAAUGUGUAUCUUGAAUAUGAGAGAGGUAGGCGGAAUGUUGCAUGUAGCGGUGAAAUGCUUAGAUAUGCUACGGAACACCGAUUGCGAAGGCAGCUUACUAUUUCGUAAUUGACGCUGAGGCACGAAAGCGUGGGUAGCGAACAGGAUUAGAUACCCCGGUAGUCC